CAAUAAUUUAACUUCAUUAUUGAUGCAUUACAACAUAGGUUGCAUUGCAGUUUUGCAGCAUGUGACAUGGAGCCAGUUGCAAAUACUUGAUAUUUGGUCUGUAACAUUAGAUGAAAACUCAUAAUCUGGAUUUGAAACCAUUAAAAAAUGUUUUUCCAUCUGUGUCCAUUGGACAAAAAAUAUUUUGCUUUUAAAAGUGAGAGCUGCUUUGCCUGCACACCAUGACCACUACUUUUUAAAGCGUGUGUGGAUUGGACAAACCUUAUUUCCACACAGAUGUCAAAGAAUUUAACAAAAAAAAAGACUGUCCACAUUUUCUUGCAGUGCUGGAGGCAAUUGGCAGUUGAGUGUUAUUUACUCUGCUGGAUAGCUUGUUUCUGAGAGUGGCUCAAACACACACAUCAGGGCUCAAUGUGUUGUGAGAAGAUUGAGAACACACCCCAAACUGAGCUGCUCUCCAUGUGAGAGAUAAGACCAGUCUGCCCCUGCUGUACUGACAGCGGGAUCCUUGCUUGGUUUCAGGCUAAUAGGUUUCUAGGUAAUGUAGUUUAUGCUGAGAAAAGACACAUUUGCACAUGUUUAGUGAUCAUUAUUACACAGAGCCACAUAAAGGACCUGGGAUGUCACAUUUAAAUUGAAUAGAAUCCUACCUGAAGAGCCCUCCAGGACAAUGAACCACUCUAGUGCAAUUAAGAUAUUUUCAGUUUUAUUUUAGAGCAGCAGUCUUAAUAUUUCCCCCCUAUCACACACUGCCCACACACACACACACACACACACUUUCUCCAGUCUGUCAGUAAAGAGCCAACUCCUCCAGCUUUCCAAAUAUGAUAAGACCAGAGCUGCAAGAACUCUCCCAGCACUAUGGUAAUGGUUAACCAGAUAAUUCAUUUAGGGGUGGGAAUAGAAAACAGUCAGGACUUAUUUUAUCUUCUUUCGUUGCUCUCCCGCCAUCAAUGAGUUGAAUUCAUUGAAAGCAGGACUCAGAAUGGAGGAGACAGCUCAACAACAAGAAAAACAGGAGUCGGAGUAUAAGGAUCCAGAUGAGGAGCAAGGUGGGAUCCGGCGCAGACUGCGGGACAGGGAACUUCUCAGGAAGAGAAAAGCAGAGGCAGAGGAGAAGGAGACUAACCAGUGGGUUUAUGGACUGGAGAGCCAAAGGAAAAGAUCAAGAGCUGAUGACACGAGGGGUAUGAAGAAGAGAGGGAGGCCCAGAAAGACUGAACCCAUGCUGCAGACAGCAGCUGUUCAGGAAGAGGCAGCAGCGUCUCAGAAAGCUCCAGCACUACUGGUUGUACCUGAAACUGCAGAGGUCAUCCCAGGUCAAAUACCAGGAUCUCUGACCACAUUCCUCCCUGUGCAAUUACAACCAGCUUCUGCCCCAGUUGCCCCUGUUCCUGCAGUGCUUAUGCCUGUUCAAAGUCCUGUCUUUGCUCCUAGUCUGACCUCUCCUGCUCCAAUUGAACCAACUCUAGAUACAGCUCAAGCUCCUGUCCAAGACAUGGCACCGGCUCCUGUCCAAGACAUGGCUCCAGCUUUUGUCCAAGACAUGGCUCCAGCUUUUGUCCAAGACGUAGCUCCGGCUCCUGUCCAAGACAUGGCUCCGUCUUUUGUCCAAGACAUGGCUCCGGCUCCUGUCGAAUUUAUGGCUCCAACUUUAGAGUCUAAUUCAGUCCCAGAUAUGUUCCAAGACACUGUUCCAGAUGCAGCUCCUGAUCCUCCUGCACCUUGCCCCACGCAGGUGGGGACCAUCUACACGGAACCUCAAAGCAGAGAGGGCUUUGAUCAGGUCCUGAUUGAAGACUUGGGCCCAGAUGAGGAGGAAGACAUUUCUCCAUCACAAGACAAAAGAGCAGAAGAAGAUGUGAGUGAGACACUGUCCAUCAACGUGCCUGAACAAAAUAGAAUGUACUCAUUUCCAGCCUUGUCCUCUCCUCAGCCUCUGCCACAAGAAUAUCUUCCAGGAAAUUAACUUAAUAAUUUAAUUUGAAAACAUUGCAAAGCCAGAUGACAAAGUUUGUAUUUUGUGGUCAAAGAGAACAAGCAUGUUGAUCCCAUGCAUUACUCAUAGAAAAAAGGUAUGAAUUCAAUCCAGCCUGUUUGCUUAUUUAUUCUGGUUUGUGCUUCAAUGUGGAGCUUUGGAAUUGUAUUUUUGUACCUUGGAUUUAGUUUGAAGCCAGUUUUGCUUCUAUUUAAGUAAUUGAUGAAAAUGGAUUUAUUUGAAAUGACUUUUGUAAAAGGAUUGUUUCAUGAAAUAAAUUUCACUGCUUAUAUAAUUUAACUGUGGUC
ensembl:lncRNA skin secretory protein xP2-like